CAUCCAUCUGAGAGUUAAAUUCUGGUACACUUUACCUACAGAAGGAGUCCUGUCCUCGUCUGAGCAUGCACUUUCAUGGCUCAUCACGUUUACACAGUUUUGCGUGUUCACAAUGCAAGUUUUGUGAACUGUUUUCCCUAAGUAUUCACAAUAAUCAAACUUUGUGCAAACAGUUCUGUCGGUUUAAAAUAAAAUUAACCAGACAUUGUGAACGCCCCUAAAUAAAUAAACGUAGUGUUUAAAUUAUGGAUAUAUUGUUAACAAUGUUUGCGGCGCAAAGGAUGGGCCUGUUGUCCUCUACGACGGAACUACUAAUAUUCGGAUGAUAUCCAGCUUAAUGGCCCACAUGUACGCUUUAUCCAUUUCCGUGCAAUUCCUAAUAUUCAUAUUUAAGCUGAGGUGAGAUUACCGGAUGUUGGAGGUGCUUGAAGGAAUUGGCACUGGAUGAUGUUGAACAGUUGCUUAUUAAACUGCUGUUUUGAGGCUUACAUGAAUACAUAAUAUAUGUAUGUACAUAUGUAUGUAUAAUAAAAUGGAAAUGUAAUUAUUGGAA